rnacentral:lncRNA from 1 species
GUUUUAUCCGUUAUACAAGAACUAUUCGUCACCUUGAUAUGGAUCACGGCGUUGUCUGGCGCGUCGUUCAUCGAAAUCUUUUUCUCUCUGUGCCCAUCUAGGAAGCUCCUCGAGUGUUCGCUGGGGCCAUGAUCGCCUGAGAGACCGCUUUCCACAAUACGUACGCUAUUGCGCACAGUGAUGUAGAAAAUCACGUCCUGUAUCGCUCUGUACGUUCACUAACUGCAACUCACGAUAACGCACGAGGUAGAUCCCCCCAGUGUGAGGCGCUUUAUCCCACGUGACAGGCGACAGUAUACGGAACCCCGGCGUGUCGCAUCGGCCUUGUUCAGAGUCAAGUGAUCCACCGAGGCUUCAUGCAUCUGUUAAAUUGUUGCAAAGUAAAUCUCUUGCAUCCGGAAGAACACAUUAACAUCGCGUGAGGGGCUAGCAAAUAGGUGCCGCAUAAGGCAUCCCUUUGCUCUCGCUCCAACUGCAAUGUGACGAACUCUCUGUACCUCAAAGAGGGACGCACGGUCAUCUCACCCUUUUCGUCCACUAAUCGCUAGAAGGGGAUUUGGGUACGACUACUGGGCGAGGAAACGCGUGUCACAAGCGCUGACGGUUACCCGCUCAUUGUCGCCGAUCUUUGUGGCGCCCCGCAUGACUAAUGGAUUCAAGCACUUCCACGAUUCGCCUGUGCCCGACGCGGCACCAAGACGGUGCGUAGUCGUCAGUAGCUCCGGCGGAGUUACGUCAACAUAACAGCCGCUGCUGAGAAUCCUCAGAGGCCCUAGACUUGUGCGAUCAGGAUGGAACCAGUUUUGGGGGGUCGCCUCUGCGUGGAAACAUAGCCUGAAAGAUCACGGUACACUCCCACACCCACUCUGCUUCGCGGGUGUCGCGGAACCCGUAUUCGUCGCCGCUGGCCAACCUACUGCUGUUCCUUGUGAACGCUAGCCGUGAGCCUGUUCUGCACCGAACCGCACCGCUUCUAUCGCUGGGUUCGAUGCAUGUAGUAUCUGCACUGCUCUCGAUGCAUUUCUGCUCUGCACGUUAUCGAAACAAUACAUGUGGUGAGGCGAUUUUUUCUCACCUGGAGCAGUAACAACUGCACAGCCUGCUGAUGUGGUGCUUCCGAACACUGCACACACUAUGACGCUGCAUGGCGCUCUCUUACGUCUCCGUGCCUGCGGAAUGUGCCGACAUGGCAUGUCGCUUUUUCCUUUUGCCGCUCGCCGAACAGCGGCCCCCGGUUCCAUAGUGUUUCAUACAUCUAGAGAUCGCUCAUCUCCUCGGCGUUGUGAUGAUCACGGUAGCCACAGAGCGGCAAUGAGUGAAAACAGACCUACCGCGAAGAGGACGUCCAUCAUCUAGCUGUCUCUCUCUCACGGAUCAGCCGCUGUCGCCAAAGCCGUGCAGCGCACAAAUAGGUCUUGAAUGUCUCAGACCACUUCCGGUUGAUCAGGCACGCCGAAACCGUCCAGAACGGCCAAUGAGUUAUAGCGUUAUGCGGAAGAAAAGUGAUGUCAUCGUGGUUGCGGAGCCCGUAUUCUACAGCGUCGAUUUCCGCAUGUUUUGAUGAAAACAAUCUUGGCGCGUCGAAACAAGGAAAGACCCGCUGAAAAGAGGGGGCGUGCUCGCAGCUGUCGGGCAACGCUCGAGCCCCCAAACAAACCUGCGUUACGUUUCGAUCGAGCUGGGUCGCCUGCUGUCUAAGUUUGUCUUUUAUCGUAUUUUCCAUGGUAUGUGAAGCAUUCUUAAAAGUUGGAUAGGCUGACAGAAACUUUCGUUGUGUACGUCCUGACUAACUGCUCGUAUGCACUCCUUUAAGC